rnacentral:sRNA from 1 species
UAUUCUGCCCCAUGGGGAAGGAUGAGAAGCUUCGACUAAGGUUCGACUCGAGCGAAGCGAGAGAACGUUGCCGCAGGCAACGGCCCGAAGGGCGAGGCGCUUUAGC